AUGGGGUACUUAACCCCCAGGCAGCCAACUAUGCCGGCCAGGCCCAAGACCGCGACCAAAUUUGGCGAGAUUAUGAGGUUCGAAAUUAAACACCCUACGCUCAUGGCUAAAACUACAAGAAAUAAAAGCAUCUACCGUAUGAUAGCGCCAUGUAGUCCAGCAGAAUCAUGCUUUAUGUCCUUGAUGAUCUGUUUCCUUCUCCAGCCUCCUUUUCAUUGUUGUGUGUGUGUGUGUGAGAGAGAGAAGGAAAAAAGAAUUACAACACAGUACCCAUGGCUAAUCCUAUUUGUUGCUCUCUACGACGAGGUGUUGUUUAAUCACACGGAGAAUUGCACAACAGCACAAGUGGGAGUGAAUUCCAAUACAACUUAUGUUUAUAAGAAAUUAUUGAAUAGCCCUUACUUCAUAUAUUAA
rnacentral:rRNA from 1 species